rnacentral:rRNA from 1 species
AAUUUAAAAUCUGGUAGUCUUUGGCUAUCCGAGUUGUAAUCUAGAGAAGUGUUAUCAGCGCUGGACCGUGUACAAGUCUCCUGGAAUGGAGCGUCAUAGAGGGUGAGAAUCCCGUCUUUGACACGGACUUCUCAGUGUAUUGUGAUGCGCUCUCAAAGAGUCGAGUUGUUUGGGAAUGCAGCUCAAAAUGGGUGGUAAAUUCCAUCUAAAGCUAAAUAUUGGCGAGAGACCGAUAGCGAACAAGUACCGUGAGGGAAAGAUGAAAAGAACUUUGGAAAGAGAGUAAAACAGUACGUGAAAUUGUUGAAAGGGAAACGCUUGAAGUCAGUCACGUCAGUCAGGGAUCAACCUUGCUUAUUUGCUAGGAGUAUUUUCCGGUUGACGGGUCAGCAUCAAUUUUGAUCGUUGGAAAAAGGCUGAGGGAAUGUGGCAUCUUUAGAUGUGUUAUAGCCCUUAGUCGUAUACAACGGUUGGGAUUGAGGAACUCAGCACACCGCAAGGUCGAGUCUGAAAAGACUACGUUUGUGCUUAGGAUGCUGGCAUAAUGGCUUUAAUCGACCCGUCUUGAAACACGGACCAAGGAGUCUAACAUGCCUGCGAGUGUUUGGGUGGAAAACCCGAGCGCGUAAUGAAAGUGAAAGUUGAGAUCCCUGUCAUGGGGAGCAUCGACGCCCAGACCAGAACUUUUGGGACGGAUCUGCGGUAGAGCAUGUAUGUUGGGACCCGAAAGAUGGUGAACUAUGCCUGAAUAGGGUGAAGCCAGAGGAAACUCU